CCACGGUGACUUGCAAGCAACUCACUGCACUUAGGCACUGGACUAUCUGAAUUUCUAAUUCAGUGACGGAAGGCUGCUGGGUGUAGUCAAGUACUUGACUUAUCGAUGCAUGUAUCAAGAUGGGAUUGACCACUCCAGUUUAGGAGCUGUGUACAGUCGUGUUUCAAUUUAGCAAAAUCUUGGUCAGGGUAGUCUUUGUGAGGAGUCACAG
rnacentral:lncRNA from 1 species